rnacentral:misc_RNA from 1 species
GACAAACUUAAGAGAUAUGAAAAGCCACUUAAUAAAACAAAUGAUAAACAACUUCCAAUCACACACACAUUGCACACUAGUAUUCAUUCAUUCAUGUUUAGAAGGAAAAGUUGAGCAUGUUCAUGCUUAAGUUCUCCAGCAUCUCAUUCUCCAUGAAACCACAUCCAUGAUUUGUAGCAAUCAUUUUGUUAUAAUAGCUGUGGGGCUUGACUGAGCAGCUUGAAGAGAUGGGCAGAACUGGAAGAUUGUCACAGUUGCAAACUUCAAUCAUAUAGCCAUCAGGAUCAUGGAAAAACACUUGAUUCACCUUUAUUCCUUCUUCCUCCACAAGUGCAGUUGCGUAUCGCAUUCCCAUUUCCUCCAACCUCCUCUUCACCACCACAACAUCACUACUCUGGAAGGAAAUGUGGUUAUCCUUGGGAUUAAUGGGUCGAGGUUCAUCGUAAUCCUCCAUACCUUUGUUCUCAAGCAAGUGAAUCCCCACUCCAUAGUUGUACAACCAGGCUCCAUGGAAGUUGAAAGAAGAAGGGCGUUUCACAAGGCAAAAACCCAAGACAUCUUCAUAGAAGCGGACAGAAUUCCAGACAUUUCUCACUAACAAGGACACAUGAUUUAGUGAAAGAAGAGGCAGUGCUUCGCAACUGCUCACUUCCUCAAUCUCCUCUAUCAUUUUUCCUUCCUCGAUCGAUAUAUUAUUAUUGAUUUUUUU